rnacentral:rRNA from 1 species
AUUGAACGCUGGCGGCAGGCCUAACACAUGCAAGUAGAACGAGUGGCGGACGGGUGAGUAAUGUCUGGGAAACUGCCCGAUGGAGGGGGAUAACUACUUGAAACGGUAGCUAAUACCCCAUACCAUUGGAUGUUCCCAGAUGGGAGUAGCUUGUAGGUUAGGUAACGGCUCACCUAGGCGACGAGCCCUAGCUGGUUUGAGAGGAUGACCAGCCAACCGGGAACUGAGACACGGUCCAGACUCCUACGGGAGGCAGAAGUGGGGAAUAUUGCACAAUGGGCGCAAGCCUGAUGCAGCCAUGCCGCGUGUAUGAAGAAGGCCUUCGGGUUGUAAAGUACUUUCAGCGGGGAGGCGUUACCCGCAGAAGAAGCACCGGCUAACUCCGUGCCAGCCGCCGCGGUAAUUC